UGAACCAUAAAUAUCACGAUACGUUUAAUCAAGCAGUAAGUCUGCAUAUAAAAUUAAAAGACAAAAAAAGAUAUGGUCAGACGUAGAACUCGAACCUCCAACUCUGAUAUUGGCAGCUAAGCGCUUUGUCCACACAUCUACCUGCACAUGCGACAGGUAUAUCAAGGACAUACUUGAAUAAAUGGCAUUAAUUGGUGAAACAGGAGUGCUUAUAUGACGGCCGUGGUGGGCGGAAGGCAGGCGUUUGGUUGAACUUGAUGUGCUAGUUAACUAUCUAGAACUGUCGCAAGUGUAAAUUAGAACAAGUACCGCUGACAGCAUGUGACGUGGAUGGCGGGUUGCACAAAAGGGGCUUUGUGGAUAUUUAUACGUGUUUUGUCAGAAAUUAUCUUGACUGUAGCUUUUGUCAACAGAGUGGCAGAAGUCAGCCGAUGCCAUGAAGUCAAAUUAGCAAUUAGCUUAAUGAAGAGGUUACACAUCCUGUAGAAACAUUGCACUUAGCUGCAAAGAAGUAUUCCAUAUGUAACUGAGAAAAAUAUGCAACCAGUCAGGGAUGGAACCCGGUGCGGCUCGAUGACAGGGCGAAUGCUGUACCAACUAAACAAACCGGCUGCAUAUUCUUCCCCAAUGUGACUACCUUCGCACAGAAACACAUGUGACAUUCCAAUAUUUCUUACAACGCGACUAUUUACAUGACAGCCGUGCAAAUGUUUUUUUUUUACGAUCACUGUGUAAAUAAUGUAUAUUUAUGACACGACAACCGUGUUAAUAAAAUGCAAACAUGGCAGAUAUUCCUUUCAUAACAUGAACUUGUAUGAAGUUCUUUUGUAUAGUUAUCGAUGCUAAAUAAACUUUUGA